UCUUGGGUGAUGUUGGUGAGAUUCCAAACAUCUGGGUUUUGAGACAGAGAGAGAGAGAGAAAGAGAGAGAGAGAGAGAAGCACGCGCGCGAGAGAUCUCCACGGUUAAGUAACUUAAUCUUCACAGCCCCCUGGAAUGCUCUGUUUCCUGUUUCCAAGAGGUCUGAUGACUCUUCAUUGCUGGACAUCUAUUGAUCACUGUGGGAAUCAGGCCUGAUGCUCACCUGUUUACUUAAGAGAUAAAUAAGAGAUGAUAAAACUGAGGCUCUGCAUCUCCCAGAGAGGAGAUUUCCAGCAAGUCCCAACAGUGAGACACCCGAGUGCCUUCUCUGCCAUCAGCGAGUCUCAGCCAUGCCGCCCACACCAGAGACACAGAGGAAAGGCCACGUGGGGACACAGAGAAGGUGGGCGUCUACAAGCUGAGGAGAGAGGCCUCACAAAGAACCGGCACUCCCGACACCUUGACCUUGGACUUCCAGCCUCCAGAUCUGUGACAACACAAAUUUCUGUUGUUUAAGCCGCCCAGGCUGUGGUACUUACCACCCCAAAGCUGAUAGAGUAUCACUACGUAUAAUCCACCAUAAUCGAAAUCAAGCAAAAGACAAAACAGGUGGACAAAAAUUAAAAGGAAGACAAUAUCAAGUGAAUGAGAAGAUGCCUCGGAAUAGAAUUCUCAUAUGAUGCUGGAGGGAGUGAAAACUGGUCCAAAUGCUUGUGGAGCGAUUUGGCAAUACCCAGUAAAACUGAAAAUGCACAUCUUCAUGCUGUUCUACUCCUAGAGACUUGUCAGAGAAGAGAGGAAGAUGGUUUGGGUGAAGAAGUAAGAGAGCUCUUUUCUGACAGUCCUGGAAUAGAUGGGUAGUUUCAUGCGUCACCUUUGAAAAUGACUCACAAGUACGACAUCUCUCCAGAGUUCUCCAGACAAACCGUGUUAUGACCACGUGGGCCCCCUCUGCUGUCUGCAGCCAGGGGCCCCCAGGCCCCUGGGAGAGCUGGACCAGGAAAUGGGGGACCAUAAGCUCCCGUGUGAAGACCAGGCAGUGCUGGAGCGGAUGUUGCUUAGAUGGAACCCUGAUGGAGUUCGCAGUCGGGACUUGCUGAGCGUGUGGGGUAAGAGGUGAGGAUUAGAGGCUGCAUCUUGGAAAGAGCAGAAAUAAAGGAAAGAGCAUUCCAGGCAUAGUGAUCCAACCCAAGACGCUUGAGAGAACAUCUGUUUCUAGGGAGUCACAGGCAGGGCAAUGUGAAUGGUGUGCAGAGGAAAAGCAGGCAGUGAUGAGAGAUGAAGGGAAAGUAAUUUUUAUUGCUGCCAUAACAAAUUACCCCCAACAUAACAUUUUCAAACAUCUAGCUCUUAUCUCCCAGUUAAGUCAGGGGCAUCCCAGCGGCAUUGUCUGCUUAGAGUUUCAUGAGGCUGAUAGUUGACAGGGCUGAGUCCCUUUCUGAAGGCUCUGGGGAAUAAGCUACUUGCAAGCUUCUCCAGGUUGUUGGCAGAACCCAGUUUCUUCUGUGUAGGACCGGAGCCCCAUUUCCUUGCGGGCUGUCGGCUGCGGCCACCUUUAGCUGCUCUCUGGUUCUUCCAGAUGACCCUCUACAUCUCAGAAACAACCAUGGAACAUCAAACCCUUCCCCUACUUUGAGUCUCUCUGACUUCCCCCCUCUGACUUCCUCUUCUGCUUCCAGGCUGGGGCAGUGCUCUGCUUCAAGUGCUCAUGUGAGUUGAUUGAACCCACCCAGAUAACCCCAAACAAUCCCCCCCCCCACACACAUCCUCAAGGUCCUUCACUUAAUCACACCUGCGAAGUCCUUUUGCCACGGGGAUACAGGCAUGGGCAUUGUUGGGGGGCAUUCUGCCUACCACAGUUGGAUCACCAGUCCCGAGAGAUGGUCUCGAGGGAUGUGCGUGCGUGCACACAGGUACACAUGUCAGGAUGCUUUAGUCAAAUCUGGGAAACACGGAAUAAUGUAUCCCUUUCCUGGAGAUUCAAAAAACACACUUUGAUGUUAAAGACUAUAAUGAGGAAACCUGUGUGACUUUUUCCCAGGGUUCCCCAAAUUUGUUUCGCCUUAGAAUCUUUUUCUCCAGGUUCCAGUUCAAGAUGGCGACUUAGAUCCUGAACCCACCUCCUCCCACAGACACGUGGAAUCUGUAGCUGUUUUACAGGGAACAAGUUCCUCUGAAAGAAAACUAAACACUGGCAGAGCGACCCCUUCACAUCGAGCAAACAAGAGGCAAACUGCAUCAAAGAGGGGAGGAAAGGCUGGGACACAGUCUCACUGUAAACCCCAUCUCCAGCACAGCUACCGACAUUUGGGAGGAAACUCAGAACCUGGACCUUCUCCCUGAGAGCUGAAGGGUUUGUGGCCCGCAUCAGGCAUUCAGACUUUUAAGCUCCACACCUGAGAGACCAGCCCCACAGAUAUCUGCGUUGAAGUUCCAAGGGGCUUGCGCCCACGAGACCUGCGGGCUGUGGGAACCGAGGAGCAGCUCUUACAAAGAUUGGGUACAGACUCACCCAGCCCAGGGUCCAGCGCAGGAGCAGCCCUUUGAAAAGCACCCAGACUUUAUGUGAGAGAGACUCACUUGCUGAUUUUAAAGCAUUGGUCUGAGGGGCAGGGGCCGGGAUGUUCUCUGGGGGAGAGGCUGGAGGGCCCUAUCUGCCCACUCUCCCUCUGCCUUGAUAAAGCUGGUGGGCACCAUUUUUUUUGGUUUCUUCUUUUUUCUUUCUGUUCUUUUUCCUUUUUCCUCCCUUUUUCUGCAGCUGCCAUCUUACAUAUUAUAUUAUAUUACAUAGGAAGUAGUGAACACUUCCUAUGUAGUAGUAUGAGAAUCCACAAAAAACUUUCAUUUUUUAGCUUUUCUUAAAAGAUCAGAUCUGGAAACUGGGCUGUAUUUCUAAGUGGUCGUUAUCUGUUGGAGCUGAGUAAGUGGCUUCUCCUUUAGCUGGGUGGCUAGUCUCCCAGCCGAUUCGUUCCCAGGUGUCAAGCACGUGUGAUGCCUGCCUGGCCCCAACAGAGUUUGAGUUUGACAACACCUGUCUCACUGGGGUUUCAGGAGGGAAGCUGUGUCACUUCUAUUGUUUAUUCCACUUUCUUUAUGUGACUCUUUGCUCUGAAUCUUAUCUAGGAUAAGAUUAUGUAUAUUACAGUACAUUACAUUUCAUUAGAGUGGGUCUCUUGGUAAUAAUUAGUAGUUUUCUGUUUUCCACUUUAGGGGGACCCAGCCCCUUUCUCAGCAGCAGGGUCUUCUCCUGAGAUCUGAAUAUGUUUAUGGAUAUUCCAAGGAGAGUGUCCUAACAAAAUCUCAACAAUGUUCAUUUUGAGGCUGUGUGACACUUUGAGCUACAAAACAGGAGAUUUAAAUCAUAGAGAGUGUUGAGGUAUAAGUGCAGGAGAGAAAAUGUGGAUUUUUCUGUGCAUGGCUGCCAAAAUAAUGUUCUGUAGCACAACUGGUUUCUCAAUCUGGAACAAGAUUCAAGUUUAGGAACUUACAUCAGGAAACAACAUUUCUAUGCUAGAUUCAAGUUUUACUUUUAACUCCUGGAGUAGGGAUUUGCUAUUCUUGGGUCAAGUCUUGGGCUGAAUCUUGAUCUUCCUCUAGUGGAGAUUGGAUGCUUGGACAUUUUAGGGGAAGUGAAAUUUUCCCAUAUCUGCUUGAUUGUCCAUCAAAGGUGAGCACAUGCUCUUCUAAUGGAACAAUCUAUGCACAUUUCUCUUUUCUCUAUUUUUAUUUUUCCUUCUCUUAUCUCUCCAGGCUCCCCCUGCAAGGACAUUCUAUGCUCUGGGAAGCCUCUCUUAACCGACCAAGGCUAGGAUAAGGGCCCUUCUUAUGUGCAGCCAUAGAUCUCUGUACAUGCUUCUAAAAGACAUUUUCACACUAUUUAUUAAGUGCUUGCUUUCUCACGUGUCUUAAUGCCACACCUGAGAUUCUCAAGGGCAGGGACCUUGUCCUUCAUCACUGUUCCCUGUUAUCACUUAUAAGGAACCUUGGCUUAAUAGCUAAGACUCAAAUUACUCCCUAGACGUGAGAUUCAAUAACCUUUAUCAGGCUUUUACAUCAAAAUACAGUUCUCCAAACGCCACCAUUUUUCAAUCAGGUCACAUUUACUCAAUAUUUUAUUAAACAAGUCCCCAGUAUGGGAAUAAAUAAAACAGUUUCAUUUGUACUUUUACUUAUAAUAUUAAUUGUGGCUCCCAAUACAUCCUCCUGUUUUGUAGCUCCUUAGGGAAACUACUGUAAAAAUUUAGCAUGUGUUCUUAUGUGUCAUUUAAGACUGGAGUUAGCUCUAUGUGACACUAUCAUAAGUAACUACAGCUGACCCUUGAACAGCACGGGGGUUAGGGGCACCGACUCCAUGUGGUUGAAAAUCCACAUAUAAGUUUACAGUUGACCCUCCAUAUCCAAGGCUUUGAAUCUGUGGAUUCGACCAACUUCGGAUCAUGUAGUACUGUUGUACGUAUUUAGUGAAAAGAAAAUCCAUGCAUUAGUGGACCUGUUCCACUCAAACCCAUGUUGUUCAAGGGUCAGCUGUAUAGCACCUACAAACUUUCAAAAUUACACUGUUAAAAAAAUAGAAUAAGUUUUUCUCCAGAAGUCGUGAGUGAUUCAGUCUCGGUCAGUCAGAGCCUUGGCUUCCUCUGGCAUCAGUGGUUGGUUGGAGAAUGGAUGUGUCAUCAUCAAAGUUAAUGAAUGAUAGCCAGAUAUUUGCUGAGGCUUCUGGAACUAAAAGGGACAAUCCUUCCCCUCUGCAGAGUACCUAGAAACUGUCACUGAAAUUCUCUCCUCCAUCUGGCUAAUGUAUGAGGCACAUGAGAAUGAGAUCUGCACAGAGAGCAGCAAGCAUGAAAGACAGAAGAAACCAGCACAUAGUAAUUUUACUUAAGUUCUGAUCAAGACUUUCCUGAAUUCAGUCCUACCUCUAGACUUUUUAGGUAUGUGGAAUAAUUAAUUAAUUUCAUUUUGAUUAACUCAAUUUGGUUUGGGUAUUCUGUCACUAACGACAUUUAAUUGGAGGAAACUGAUUCCAAAAUAUCAUUAGGAAUUACUAAUAAUAUCUUUCCCAGUGUUUCUGGGUUGAUAAGAGAAUAGUAUUUCUUCUGUUAGAAAACCUGUGCAUUUCUAUGAACUUGUUCUCUGAAUUAGAGAAACAAACCUUUUUGCCUAGGUGAAAGAAUCGGCAAUCCUUUAAACAAUUCAAAAAGUAGUAAUAGUGUUGGAAAUGUUUGCAUGACUAGAAUGGUUCCAUCUGACACUGUUCAUGUGUUUUGAAAUCCAAGGGGCAUUUCAAAGGUCAGACCUGGAGGACUACAUAAUCAGAAAUUUCAAAUGACCUUCUGUCUUGGAAGAGUAAGAAGGGGGAUUUCCUCCCUCCACCCUCUCUUCUCCCUCCCUUGACAAAUACCCUUCUUCUGGGCAGAGGCAGAUUCGGGUCUUGGCUUCCGUCAUGCGCUGACAGUUUUUUGUUUAUCUUAAGUGAGAAAUGGACAAAAGGAAACACAAAACAGAUGAAUGGGCAGAAGUAUGAAUAAACAACUUUCACAGCUGAGUAACAGAUGGCUGCAGGACCUCAGUGACUACACAAAUUGAUUUGCAAGGUUUCUGGAAGGGGACACUUGUUAAUGUUUUUCUCAAGCAAAAGUUACAGUGAUAGAAUAAAAAUGAUCUCCUCUUGGUUACUUUCUGUAAAAAAAUAACAUGGAAUUUAUAUUAUAAUACCGCCAACGAACUGUGCUGGGUGUUCUUUGUUUGUUAUAAAUAGUGAGUGGGCAGCUGGGGAUACCAAGGAGAAUAAAAUGACUUCCCCACUCCCGUUCAUUCUCCCCUCACACCCACCCCUUCCCCUGAAGAAGUUCUUAGGUGAAUUGAGGAGAAUGUCUUGCAAACACAUGCAUGACAGUGCAUGCUGGGAGAAUCCAUAGCGCGGGUAUGGAUGCCAUGUUGCCAACAGUGAGAGACGGGCAAACAUCAGGGCUUUAGAAGCAGACAGAGUAGACUGCAUCUUGAGUGGUUCUGCCUUAGCAGAACUUAGCUUAGCUCUUCAGAGCUCCCACUUUUCCUGUAAAACUAAAAUAGUAAUACUUAUACCUUUAUUUGCUCAGCCAACAUUUACUAAGAGCUGUCUCUGGUCUUCAGGCGUGCGGAAUAGAAUAAGUGGGCAAAGGAAGCAGCACAUCCUUUUGGUGGGAAGGUCUGACGGCUCUCACUUUCUCAGAGGACAAUUCAUCGGGGGUUUAUUUGGAAGGCAGCUGUGGUUGGAGCAAGCACACCCUGGAGCCAGAUUCCUGUGAAUGUCCUAGCUCUGAGCUUACUGUGUGACCUUGGGCAAGUUACUCAGCUUCUCUGUGCCCCGUGUGCCCACUUUGAAAAAUUAGGAUACUAAUAGUAACAGUCUUGCUGGGUUAUUAUAAUAAUUAAAUGAAUUAAUAAUACAUAUAGAGACUUUCGUACAGGGUUUGGAACCUAGUAAACCCUAAAGAAUAGUGAGUGUUAUAACAUGUAAAGUACAGAGUGAGGGUCCCAAUUCCUAAAUAAAUGUCUAGUAAAUAUUUUGUUCCCUGCAGAAUAACUAAGCACAGCACCUCGUCUUUUUUUUUUUUUUAACUUGUUAUUUUAUAUUGGAGUAUAGAUGAUUAACAAUGUUGUGUUAGUUUCAGGUGUACAGCAAAGUGAUUCAGUUAGACAUACACGUGUAUUUAUUCUUUUUCAAAUUCUUUUCCCAUUCAGGUUGUUACAUAAUAUUGAGCGGAGUUCCCUGUGCUAUACACAGGGCGAUCCAAGUCCCUCUGCUGCAGAUGUAGGAAAACAUCUGGCUGCCCUAUUGGAUGGGGGCGCUACGUGCAGUGAUUCACAGAACGUGAAGUCAACCAGCGCUCUCCACUUCUGAGAAAUCCUCGGCGAUGGGUUUGGAGCUGUGGACACUGGCGCACGCUGGCUCUAGGACACCCGCUUUGCUGGAGCGACCCAUCUUGGAUGCUCUCUUUUUCUCACACAACUGCAGAGGUCUGUCCACCAGGGCCCUGGCACUAUUUUUCACAAGAUCCUCGUCACGCCGUGAGAGAGGCCCUUCCUGCCGUUGCUCUGCCGUGGUCAGCACUGCUGGAAGCCUGGUCCAUCUCCAGAACUGAGGGAACCGCCAGCGUGCGGGGGACCAGGGAGGAGAGGCUUGCAGACAUCGCCUGUGUGGUUUUGUAACACCUGCAACACCAGCCCUGCCACCAGGAGCACAGAGAUGCAGAGAAAGAAGCACACACAGCCCCUGGCACUCCUUCAGUUUUUAUGGCCCUAGACAGACCAGCACAUGGCAUGUGGCCUGGGGCCUGGUGCUUAGAACCUCUCCUUUUGGUAUUGCUAAAAAAACUUUUUUUUUUUAGUUCUUUUAAGGAGAGAGCUGUGUGGUCACUUGCUGCCUCUGCACCCUUUGCAAGGGCUUGGCGUCCUGGAGCUGUGUUAGAGACAGGCCGGCCUUCUAGGUGCAACUUAGUGCAGUGAAAUAGCACCUUCAUGAGUGGCGCUUGACCAGAAGGAAUCCAACAUACAACCAGGAUGGAGUUUGGAAGUGUGAAUCCUUUUGCUAAAACUGCAUAGAAAUAGCAGUGCAUCCCCGCCCUGGCCUCUCGUGGACCCUCUGGGUGAGGCUCCCUCUGGGCCUUGACCUCUGUAUCUAAUGGUGGCAGUGAGAAGUAAGUAGAUGGGCUUCUGAGAAAGCAGCUUCUUUCUGAUAAAGGAGCAGGCCUGGGAAGCAAGCUUGUUAUUAUGUCCUCUUCCCCUUGCUUCUUGCCUUUGAAUAUGGGAAUAGGACCAAUGUUUGGGACUGUUGCAGCCAUUCUGGGGCAAUGAGGCAAAUGACAUGAGAAAAAAAAUUAUGUAACCAUAUGUACUAGUUUGCCUAAGACAGUCCCAGGUGAAUCCUGCUGUCACAGUGUAAUUAUUGAUAACACCCCCUUUCACGCUCAAAAGUGUCCUGAAUUAGACAACAAAUUUAUGGUCAGUCUCAGAAAAAGCUUCAGAUGCUUAAGCUGAUAGAGAGGAAAGAAUGAAAACAUCAGUGUUGCGGAGUGACUGGCCCAGCUCUGGAUGAUUUAUCUCCUAAUCUGGAUUUUCAGUAAACAGCAAAUGUCUCCUGUUAAAGCCUGGGUUAGUCCAGUUUUCUGUUACUUUCAGCUAAAAGCAUUCUUUCCUGAUAUAUUUAUCUUCAGCUCAGGGAUUUUGGAGUGCAGUUACAACUUGACUAUUGCUUUCAGACUAAAGCCUUUUAAAGUUCUGAAGUUUUUGGCUAACUUUUUCUUAUCUAUAAUUCCUGAAUUGGCAUGACAAUUGCUGAAAUAUUGCACAGAAGGCUUAUUUUGUGAUAUUUCCAGUAGGAACCAGAAGUGGAAGUGUCAAAAUUCUCACCACAAAGCUUGUUAGGAGGUGUUCCACCCAAGCUGGCAACCCUAGGGGGUUUGGAAAGUACAAAUAAGAGAGCAAAUUGUCAAGGAGAUGAGGACUAGAAUUCUGGAGGAAAUUAUACAUUACUGUCUAUUAAAUCUGCAUAGAGUUUCAGAAUAUUUUUCUCUUUGGAAGAAGUUAAGAUGAUCCACACACUAAAAGUAGUGAGACGAAAGAAAGAGAAGAACUUGGACCAGGAGAGAAAGCUUCAGCUCUCUAAGGAACACAGAGCACCUGAAAGGCAUAAGGGUACCGAAGCAUGGCUUAAGGACUUCUGAUAGAUGUGACCGAGGCUUAUGAACUGGAUCUACUUUAAUGUUUUCUGUAAGACAAAAAUCUAAGAUGGGGUUGUUCUAAAAUCACUUCUGACUAUUAAAUUGUAUGUCUUUAAAAACA